GACGAACGCUGACGGUGUGCUUUAGACAUGCAAGUCGAACGAGAAAGCCCUUCGGGGUGAGUACAGUGGCGAACGGGUGAGUAACACGUGGGCAAUCUGCCCCUCGCAGGGGGAUAACCGGGGGAAACCCCGGCUAAUACCCCGUACGCUUACGGAGCCGCAUGGCUCCGUAAGGAGAGGUAGCUUCGGCCAUCCGGCGAGGGAUGAGCCCGCGGUACAUUAGCUAGUUGGUAGGGUAACGGCCUACCAAGGCGACGAGUAUAGCUGGUCUGAGAGGAUGAUCAGCCACACUGGGGACUGAGACACGGCCCAGACUCCUACGGGAGGCAGCAGGUCGGGAAUCUUGCGCAAUGGGCGAAAGCCUGACGCAGCAACACCGUGUGAGCGACGAAGGCCUCGGUCGUAAG
rnacentral:rRNA from 1 species